rnacentral:rRNA from 1 species
GUGUCAGCAGCCGCGGUAAUACAGAGGGUGCAAGCGUUAAUCGGAAUGACUGGGCGUAAAGGGCACGUAGGCGGAUAGAUGUGUCAUAGGUGAAAUCCCCGGGCUUAACCUGGGAACUGCCUGUGAAACUGUGUAUCUAGAAUAGAGUAGAGGUAAGUGGAAUUUCCGGUGUAGCGGUGAAAUGCGUAGAUAUCGGAAAGAACACCAGUGGCGAAGGCGACUUACUGGACUCAUAUUGACGCUGAGGUGCGAAAGCGUGGGGAGCAAACGGGAUUAGAUACCCCGGUAGUCC